AGUUUCAGAUGCCUCAUUAGCUCAAAUACGGCGGGACGCUUCAGCAUGCAGUGCAGAUGGAGGGACAGUUGACUGGUGAAAUGCAACAGGUUUCAUCCGUCACGUGAGGAAGAGUGGAAGAGUUCAUCAAAGCGCCGUCCACCUGUCCUGCAGCAUCAGACACAGUUUCCGGAACAAACACGACUGCCAUGCUAACACCCCUGCUGUUCAUCGUCCCACGGAGAUCUUUUUAUCCAGCGGAGACUUUGGAGACCGUCAAAGCGCUCGGCUCGUGAGAGAUUUACUCGUCUGGAGAGCGUUCGGCUGUCCUCGGCCUCCCGGCGGUUUGGAAGCGCUUGAACAUCUGUAUGAGCCUCCAGUUGUUUGUAAUAGUGAUGCUGUAAGGAGAGACACCCUUUUCUCUUUCCGACCCCCCCCUUCCUUCUCAAAUCCCACAUCAGUCCAUCUGGUUUAUGUUUGUUUGGCUAAGUCUGGACCGUAGCUGCUUUUCAAACUCUUGCUGCUGGCUGUUUUGGGGUCCAGAUGGCUUUAUCGCUGUGCUUUACGUGUCCUUCAUGGGUCGUGUGUGAUGAGGAAGCCCUUCCCUAUGCGUUGAUCCUCUGAGAUUAGUGUCUAGUGGUGAAGCAUUGGUCAUUUAUGCUCUACAAACGUCCCAAAGAAAGAUACAGCCCGGAUUGAGCCGUGGAGGGCAGCGUUUGGAGCCAAAUCUACUAACGUCAGGCCUCUGUUCUUUUGCGUGUACACUGAAUUUGUAAAUACGUGAGUCAGAUGUUGACGAGAACACUUCAAAAAUGGCCUCCUGCAUCAGACGCAGAGCAAAGAUGAGCGUGUAAAUGAAUUGGCGUCUUCUUUUAAGGUUUUAUGGUGAACUGUCAUUGCAAACAGAGCUGAAAUGUUUAUAGGUUGCUUUGUAACGUACACAAUCAUAAUUUGUGGCUUUUGUAUCUGGUUAAUUUGUUGUCACCAACCGUAAUGUUUGAGAUUAUUGGUCGAUGAAGCACAAUAAAUCAAAUCGUUUCCAUCGUU